rnacentral:tRNA from 1 species
ACAAAUGAAGCAUUUAAGAUGCCCCGCGCUUACACCGUGAAGAAGAUAUAGUCCAUUUGUU